GCAACCAGGCCAGUGUUGCUAGGUGGUGGAGUGAAUGGAAGGGAAUAAAAUGUGAGAAUGUAAAGGUCAUGGUUAUGAUUGACUUCAAGAGAUGAACAGGUGAUUUUGUAUUUGAUCCUGGAAGGAAGAGGGAACCAUUGGAGUUUGUUGAAUAAGAAAGGGUGACAUGGACAAACUGACGCCUAGGAAAAUCACUUUUGUGGCUGAGAGGGGGCAGAUUUAGAAUAAAAAGAGACUUGAGGAGGUGACAUCAACCAGAAGGCCAUCACAACUGUCCUUGCAUGAAGUAUUAAGGAGCAACACCAAAAUGGCGGCUAUAGCCCUUCAAGGAUCAGAAGUCACAGCAGAUCCAGAAGCUUGAGAAGCUGAGUGAAGUCUACCUGUCCAACAGGUGCAGAUACUCACACGGAAAAUUUAACUGGUUCUCCUAGCCAGUUGAAGCGGGUUCCAGCAUACCACUGCAUAUAUGAAAUCUUUCUGUCUUUGACCUUCUUUAGGUCAAACUGUACAAAAUCAGCAGCAGCUGAGGUGUCAAACUCACAGAUGCCAGCCACAUGGUUCCACAAAACUUCCCAGUCCA